AGCGCCCAAGCCGGAGCCAGAGACGCGGAGCCCGCGCGAGCGUCGGAGACAGGGCUCCAGGGCUCCGAAGCGACAGAGCCGGGCCCCGGCCGCUGCCAGGGGCCCCGCCCGGCCCCCCCACUCCACCCCACGUCCCUCCUGCAGCCCAGCUCCGCCCGCAGCCGCCGCGGACCAGGCAGGCCCGCACCGCCGCCAUGAUGUGCGAGGUGAUGCCCACCAUCAGCGAGGAUGGCCGGCGGGGCUCGGCGCUGGGCCCGGACGAGGCGGGCGGGGAGCUGGAGCGCCUCAUGGUCACGAUGCUCACGGAGCGCGAGCGCCUGCUGGAGACGCUGCGCGAGGCACAGGACGGGUUGGCUACAGCGCAGCUGCGGCUGCGCGAGCUCGGCCACGAGAAGGACUCGCUGCAGCGCCAGCUCAGCAUCGCGCUGCCCCAGGAGUUUGCAGCUCUGACGAAGGAGCUGAACUUAUGUCGGGAGCAGCUGCUGGAGAGGGAGGAAGAGAUUGCAGAGCUGAAGGCGGAACGGAACAACACGCGGCUGCUCCUGGAACACCUGGAGUGCCUGGUGUCCAGGCACGAGAGGUCACUGCGCAUGACCGUGGUGAAGCGCCAGGCCCAGUCCCCGGGUGGGGUCUCCUCGGAGGUAGAAGUGCUCAAAGCUCUAAAGUCUCUCUUCGAGCACCACAAGGCCCUGGAUGAGAAGGUCCGGGAGCGGCUGCGGAUGGCGCUGGAGCGCGUGGCAGUGCUCGAGGAGGAGCUGGAACUGAGCAAUCAGGAGACUCUGAACCUUCGAGAACAGCUGUCUAGGCGGCGGUCAGGGCUGGAAGAGCCGGGCAAGGAUGGGGAUGGGCAGACUCUUGCCAAUGGCCUGGGUCCUGGCGGGGAUUCCAACCGGCGCACAGCAGAGCUGGAGGAGGCCCUGGAGCGGCAGCGCGCCGAGGUGUGCCAGCUGCGGGAGCGCCUGGCGGUGCUGUGCCGUCAGAUGAGCCAGCUGGAGGAGGAGUUGGGCACCGCGCACCGUGAGCUGGGCAAGGCAGAGGAAGCCAACUCCAAGCUGCAGCGCGACCUCAAGGAGGCGCUGGCGCAGCGGGAAGAUAUGGAGGAGCGGAUUACAACACUGGAGAAGCGCUACCUGAGCGCCCAGCGGGAGGCCACGUCUCUGCACGACGCCAACGACAAACUGGAGAACGAGUUAGCUAGCAAGGAGUCGUUGUAUCGGCAGAGUGAAGAGAAGAGCCGUCAGCUGGCCGAGUGGUUGGACGACGCCAAGCAGAAGCUGCAGCAGACGCUGCAGAAAGCGGAGACCUUGCCCGAGAUAGAGGCGCAGCUGGCGCAGCGCGUGGCGGCGCUCAACAAGGCCGAGGAACGUCAUGGGAAUUUUGAGGAGCGGCUUCGGCAGCUGGAGGCCCAGCUGGAAGAGAAGAAUCAAGAGCUGCAGCGGGCCCGGCAGCGGGAGAAGAUGAACGAUGACCACAAUAAGCGGCUGUCCGAGACGGUGGACAAGCUGCUGAGCGAGUCCAACGAGCGCUUACAGCUUCACCUCAAGGAGCGCAUGGGGGCGCUGGAGGAGAAGAACUCCCUGAGCGAGGAGAUAGCCAACAUGAAGAAGCUUCAGGAUGAGUUGCUGCUAAACAAGGAGCAGCUCUUGGCCGAAAUGGAGCGGAUGCAGAUGGAGAUCGACCAGCUGCGGGGGAGGCCACCAUCCUCCUACUCCAGGUCUCUCCCUGGCAGUGCCCUGGAGCUCCGUUACUCUCAGGCACCCACUUUACCUUCUGGUGCCCACCUGGAUCCCUAUGUGGCUGGCAGUGGUCGGGCAGGCAAGAGGGGCCGCUGGUCAGGGGUCAAGGAGGAGCCCUCCAAGGAUUGGGAGCGGUCUGCCCCUGCGGGCUCCAUACCACCCCCAUUCCCUGGGGAACUGGACGGCUCCGAUGAGGAGGAGGCAGAGGGGAUGUUUGGGGCCGAGCUGCUGUCCCCCAGUGGGCAGGCUGACGUGCAGACGCUGGCCAUCAUGCUUCAGGAGCAGCUGGAGGCCAUCAACAAGGAGAUCAAGCUGAUCCAAGAGGAGAAGGAGACAACAGAACAGAGGGCAGAGGAGCUGGAGAGUCGGGUGUCCAGCUCUGGCUUGGACUCGUUGGGCCGCUACCGCAGCAGCUGCUCCCUGCCCCCCUCCCUCACCACCUCUACCCUUGCCAGCCCCUCCCCUCCCAGCUCUGGCCACUCAACACCCCGCCUGGCACCCCCUAGCCCUGCCCGUGAGGGCACCGACAAGGCUAAUCAUGUCCCUAAGGAGGAAGCUGGAGCUCCACGAGGGGAGGGGCCGGCCAUCCCAGGAGACACCCCACCACCCACUCCCCGCUCUGCCCGUCUUGAGAGAAUGACCCAGGCCUUGGCACUGCAGGCGGGGUCCCUGGAAGAUGGGGGACCCCCACGGGGAAGUGAGGGCACCCCAGAUUCUCUGCACAAAGCCCCCAAGAAGAAGAGCAUCAAGUCAUCCAUAGGCCGUCUCUUUGGCAAGAAAGAGAAGGGACGAAUGGGACCCCCAGGCCGGGACAGCUCUUCUCUGGCUGGAACACCCUCAGAUGAGACACUGGCCACUGACCCUCUGGGGCUAGCCAAGCUGACAGGCCCAGGAGACAAGGACCGAAGGAACAAGAGGAAGCAUGAACUCCUGGAGGAGGCCUGCCGCCAGGGCCUACCUUUUGCUGCCUGGGACGGGCCCACCGUGGUGUCCUGGCUGGAGCUGUGGGUGGGCAUGCCUGCCUGGUAUGUGGCCGCCUGCCGGGCCAAUGUCAAGAGCGGUGCCAUCAUGGCCAACCUGUCAGACACGGAGAUCCAGCGCGAGAUCGGCAUCAGCAACCCGCUGCACCGACUCAAGCUACGCCUCGCCAUCCAGGAGAUGGUCUCGCUCACCUCGCCCUCAGCCCCCGCCUCCUCCCGCACUUCCACAGGAAACGUGUGGAUGACACACGAGGAGAUGGAGUCCCUUACGGCCACGACCAAGCCCGAGACCAAGGAGAUCAGCUGGGAGCAGAUCCUGGCAUAUGGCGACAUGAACCACGAGUGGGUGGGGAACGACUGGCUGCCCAGCCUGGGGCUGCCCCAAUACCGCAGCUACUUCAUGGAGUCGCUGGUGGACGCUCGAAUGUUAGAUCACCUUAACAAGAAGGAGCUCCGGGGCCAACUCAAGAUGGUGGACAGCUUUCACAGGGUGAGUCUACAUUAUGGGAUUAUGUGCCUGAAACGGCUCAACUAUGACCGGAAGGACCUGGAGCGGAGGCGGGAAGAAAGUCAGACCCAGAUCCGAGACGUGAUGGUGUGGUCCAAUGAGCGGGUCAUGGGUUGGGUGUCCGGGCUGGGCCUGAAGGAAUUUGCCACGAACCUCACGGAGAGCGGGGUACACGGGGCACUGCUCGCCCUGGACGAGACCUUCGACUACUCCGACCUGGCCUUGCUCCUGCAGAUCCCCACGCAGAAUGCACAGGCCCGGCAGCUUCUGGAGAAGGAAUUCAGCAACCUUAUCUCCUUAGGCACAGACAGGCGGCUGGACGAGGACAGCGCCAAGUCUUUCAGCCGCUCCCCAUCCUGGCGGAAGAUGUUCCGGGAGAAGGACCUCCGAGGCGUAACUCCCGACUCAGCUGAGAUGUUGCCCCCCAACUUUCGUUCGGCUGCAGCGGGAGCCCUGGGCUCUCCGGGGCUCCCUCUCCGCAAGCUGCAGCCAGAAGGUGGGGGGCUCCCAAAUGCGACAGCCCUUCCUCGCUUCCCUAGGGUGGGGCAUGGACCACCUCAGUAGUCCGGGUUCUGGAAUGGCCUAGUCCUUUCUCGCCCACCCCUGAGGAAUGGACUGCUCCAACGUUCCGGACUCCCCCGUCAGGAUGAAAUGGAUAAAUCCCACUCCCCCUUCCCAGGGCGGGAGUGAACUCGCCCAAUGCGAGUUUGAGUCCUUGGCUGCGGGGAAGGGAGGGAAACCCAUGUGGAGCCCGGCGAUCGUUGUGACAUCGGGAAGGGAAGUCCAAAGGGAGGAAUCCUGGAGAGGAACAGGGAGGAGGGUGCUCCAGGCUGAACCGCUGCUCGCUCUCCCUCCAGGCCAGACUUCUGGGAGUUCCCGGGCAGACGGCGUUUCGGUCCGGACCUAUUCCUGCUAGUGCAGGCCUCCAGGUGACCUCACUCGGACGGAAGAAUCUUCCCGAGGCUGGGCUGUUCCCUCUCCUGCCCGGACUGUGGCCUCGCCGGGGAGAGCGGGCGGGGGAGCUCGCGCCGAGGACUGGACCAUCUGUACAGACCAGCGGGAGUGCGCGCGCCCGCCUCGCACAGGGCCGGGGCCUGGACCAAACCACAUGAACUGGACUGAGAGGGGGAAGAAGCGGGGAGGAAGAAAUCCCGCCCCAAACGUCCGCUUUCCUUUUCUCUACUUUGUAAUUUAUUGAUCAGUUUCUGUUGGGAGACGGGUGUCCUUUACCCGCGGGAAGGGGGCGGGGCUUCCCUCCCGGGCCGCAUGCGGGGAGAGGCUGCUCCCUCCCCUUUUUCCUGCCCAGUCGCGGGGCCCAAGUCUUCCUUCUUCGUCCGAAAGGAGGGGAGGGGGGACUCGCUGCUACAAGCCUCGCCCCCUGUGCCACUCAGCUCCGCCCCGCCGCGUCCGGUCGCCGGUCCCCCGGGUCAUCUGCGGGCGGGUUCCCCUCUCCCUCCCCCGUGUCUCGUGUCCCCGGGGCCUCACCGCCCCCCGUGCUGUGGCCGUGUCCGUGCCCCGGGGGUAGGGGGCGCAGAAUGGCGCUUCCCCUUCUCCUCUGGCUCCGGGGUUUGCAUGGGAGAAUCCUCUUUCCACGAUGCCGCUGGGCGACGUGGCGUGGGGGCAGGGGGACGGUGGGGGAGCCCUCGCCCCCGACUCUCGGUCGGCCUCCCCGCCCCAGGCGUCACUCAGUGAUCACGGGUAAAGAGAACUGUUUCAAAAA